CCCGGGUUUGGAUCCCGCCGGAGGUCACUGCUAUUGGGAUUCGACUAAGCCAUGCGAGUCGAGAGGGUUCGGCCCUCGGCUGACGGCUCAGUAACACGCGGAUAAUCUGCCCUUAGGUGGAGGAUAAUCUCGGGAAACUGAGAAUAAUACUCCAUAGGUUUAGGAUGCUGGAAUGCACUUAAACUUAAAGCUUCGGUGCCCAAGGAUGAGUCUGCGGACUAUCAGGUUGUAGUCAGGGUAACGACCUGACUAGCCUACGACGGAUACGGGUUGUGAGAGCAACAACCCGGAGAUGAUAUCUGAGACACGAUAUCAGGCCCUACGGGGCGCAGCAGGCGCGAAAACUUCGCAAUGUGCGAAAGCACGACGAGGGAAUCCCAAGUGCUGGCUCGUUAGAGUCAGCUGUUUUUAUGUCUAAAAAGCAUAGAGAGUAAGAGCUGGGUAAGACGGGUGCCAGCCGCCGCGGUAAUACCUGCAGCUCAAGUGGUGGCCGCUAUUAUUGGGCCUAAAACGUCCGUAGCCUGUUUACUAAAUGCCUAGGUAAAUUGUGUGGCUUAACCAUACGAAUUCUGGGUAGACUGGUAAACUUGAGACCGGGAGAAGCUAGAGGUACUCCUGGGGUAGAGGUGAAAUUCUGUAAUCCUAGGGGGACCACCAGUGGCGAAGGCGUCUAGCUAGAACGGGUUUGACGGUGAGGGACGAAGCCCUGGGGCGCAAACGGGAUUAGAUGCCCCGGUAGUCCAGGGUGUAAACGCUGCUUGCUUGAUGUUGGUUGGGCUCCGAGCCCAAUCAGUGUCGGAGAGAAGUUGUUAAGCAAGCUGCCUGGGAAUUACGGUCGCAAGACUGAAACUUAAAGGAAUUGGCGGGGGAGCACCGCAACGGGAGGAGCGUGCGGUUUAAUUGGAUUCAACGCCGGGA
rnacentral:rRNA from 1 species